rnacentral:rRNA from 1 species
CCAAUAGCGUUUAUUAAAGUUGUUGCAGUUAAAAAGCUCGUAGUUGAAUUUCGGGAUCAGUUGAUCGGUCGUGCCUCGGUACGUACUGGUCAAAUUGAUUCCUACCUUCUGACGAACCACGAUGUCAUUAAUUUGGUGUCGUGGGAAAUCAGGACUGUUACUUUGAAAAAAUUAGAGUGUUUAAAGCAGGCUCGCGCUUGAAUACAUUAGCAUGGAAUAAUGGAAUAGGACGUUUGAUUCUAUUUUGUUGGUUUCUAGGAUCGACGUAAUGAUUAAUAGGGAUAGUUGGGGGCAUUAGUAUUCAAUUGUCAGAGGUGAAAUUCUUGGAUUUAUUGAAGACUAACUACUGCGAAAGCAUUUGCCAAGGAUGUUUUCAUUAAUCAAGAACGAAAGUUAGGGGAUCGAAGACGAUCAGAUACCGUCGUAGUCUUAACCAUAAACUAUGCCGACUAGGGAUCGGAUGAUGUUAAUUUUUUAAUGACUCAUUCGGCGCCUUACG